UACGAAGGGGGCUAGCGUUGCUCGGAAUCACUGGGCGUAAAGCGCACGUAGGCGGAUCGUUAAGUCAGGGGUGAAAUCCUGGAGCUCAACUCCAGAACUGCCUUUGAUACUGGCGACCUUGAGUUCGGGGGAGGUGAGUGGAACUGCGAGUGUAGAGGUGAAAUUCGUAGAUAUUCGCAAGAACACCAGUGGCGAAGGCGGCUCACUGGCCCGAUACUGACGCUGAGGUGCGAAAGCGUGGGGAGCAAACAGG
rnacentral:rRNA from 1 species